CUUAGUACGGCGGAGCGGGAACAUUUUACACGUUAUGAAAUAACGUUAUACCUAGGACAAGAUAUAUUUACGAGUUACCAUGAUAAUAGUUUUAUCUGAAGCAGUAGGACAUCCCACGAUUCCAGCAUCCUUUUUAAUACAUGAAAAGACAUUCUUGAUGACAGAAGGCUCACACAAACAGUUUGACAGUUGGUGUACAGUAUCAUGUGUCUCUGUAGUGACCUGCUUGAUGUGGUCAGUUUGGGAUGAUGUUAUAUCUAAUACAUGGCUGCCGAUUAGUCACAUCUUGACCGGGGCCACCACCUGGUGGAUGAGAUGGUAAUGGGAACGAGUAUGAAAGAAGCACAUGGCGAGUGAGACCCACGGCACCCGGUCAUAACAUUGGUGACGAGGAUAAGUAAGAAAUAUUAACAUGGCACAGGGAGAACCACCUGUUCUAUAUAUCCACAUAGCAGGAAUUGUUCUGCAUGUAACACCGUUCAAUCCACCGGAAAAUAGACUAAAUACAGGGCCAGCAUGGGAAACAUGGCUGGAGGAAUUCCAAGAAGAAAUGCAGUUGCAAGAAGCAGACAAGGUAACUUGCCUUAGGCGCUACAGGGGAAAAGAGAUUAGAAACAAAAUAAAAUGCUUGCCAGAUCCUCCAGUAAUUGAAAGUGAAGAAGGAAAUAGGAAACCUGAACCUUCACUACAAACCAAAACAAAAUAAAAUGCAUAGUGUUUAUGUAUUCAAUAAAAAACAAGGCUCUCAGGAGAAACCACAUCUUCAUUCACUGCCAGGUUGAGAGAAAAAGCUGAACAUAAUGAUUUUGGUAAGAGUGCAGAUACUCGUAUUUUAGAAAGAAUAAUUCAGACUAUGGAUGACAAGCAGAUUGUAACCAAAGCCAUACAAAGAAAUUGAGACUUGGGAACUUCAAUCCAAGAGGUGGGUCAGAAAGAAGACCGAAACAAAGAAGUUGACAAUAUGAGAAAUGAAUUCAAAGUGGCAAAAAUCUCAGACGGAGAUAGAGUCAAACCUAAAGGAAGAUACCCACACCUGGUGAAGAAACCUACUAAUUAAAAAAAAAAAUUAAUUGAUAUUUACCAUUAAGAACAGAUUGCAUAGCAUACAGCACUCAAGAUGUGACUUUAUGCAAUAUGAAAACUGAAAAUUCACUAGGAUUCAGAAUAUUCAAGGAUAAUGAUUGACAAAGACUGUUUUUUUUUUUAAGUUUUAAACUUUAUAUUUUGUAGAAAAAAAUUAAGGUUGGGAGGAAUGUUAUAUCCAAUACUAUUACAUGGCUGCUGAAUAGUCACGUCUUGACUUGGGCUCCCACCUGGUGGAUGACGUGGUAAUGGAAACAAGUAUGAAAGAAGCACAUGGCGAGUGAGACCCACGGCACCUGGUCAUAACAGAUGAUAUGUAUUUGACCAAAGGUGGAGCAGUGGUCAUAACCCACCCUCACCCAUCACCAUGCCAAAAACAACACCUUGCAGCUCCAGUCUCCAUACAGCAUGGUGUCUUCUAGGUGAACAGACUUUACCUGGCUGGACAUGGGGGACAUGUAUUGUUAAUAUAAAAUAGACAGGAAAUAACAGUUGCAGGAAUAUCCCUUCAUGUCACACAGUUGUGCAAGACAGCAAGUUUCAGGAUGAAUGGGUUGUGAAGAGCCAGAGACAGGACAGCCAUGGUAAACAGGGAACUGGACUUCUUGCAGCUCCAGUCUCCAUACAGCAUGGUUCUUUCUAGGUGAACUGACUUUACCUGGCUGAACAUGGGGGGAUGUAUUUUAUAUGAAGCAGACAUAAAAAUACAGCAACAGGAACAUCUUCAUCUCACUGCAAGACAAAGGAUGUGGCAAGUUUUAGGAUGAAUGAACAGCCAGAGACAGGACAGCCAUUGUGACUGGGCCUCUUGACGAUAGCAGAUAAAAUCAAAAACACUUCUGGAAUUGUGUAAAGAGCUGCUGGCAGACCAAGAGGUCAAUUUUAUACUGACUGAGAGAGAGUGCUGCCAGAACCACCCAGAACAAGACUUUUAAAGAUGACAUGCAGAUCCUGUGGAGCCAGUUAUAUGGAAAAGUACAAUUGCACAACAAAUGUGGGUUCCAGGUAACACAAAGAAUCCAUUUCCCCCAUAUGCAUGGAAACUAUAGAGGCAGGGUAUAUAAAGCAAGGAGAUUGUUUUAGACAAUACUCUAUCACUGAAGACAAAUUGACACAAUGGAAAUGCUUGAAAGUGAAUUGCUAUUUCAGCUCAGUUGUGAUGUGUUAUAAUAAUUUCCCCAUGUGCAUGGAAAUUGUUACAGUACUAAAAGAGGUAGCAUAUAUAGCAAUAAGCCAUCAUUGAACAGAAAAAGACGUCAUUGAAAAUGUUUUAAUGUGAAUACAUAUAUUUCAGUGCAGAUAUGAUGUGUUAUAAAUAAUCUCUGUUAUUAUGAGGUCAUUAAGCUGCAUAAUGCAAU